rnacentral:tRNA from 1 species
GGGGUUGUGGCUUAGUGGUAAGGCGCUUGCCUACAAUGUGUGAGGUUCUGGGUUCGAUUCUCAGCACCA